rnacentral:rRNA from 1 species
UACGUAGGGUGUGAGCGUUGUCCGGAAUUAUUGGGCGUAAAGAGCUCGUAGGCGGUGUGUCACGUCGGCCGUGAAAACCUGCAGCUUAACUGUGGGCGUGCGGUCGAUACGGGCAUCACUGGAGUUCGGCAGGGGAGACUGGAAUUCCUGGUGUAGCGGUGAAAUGCGCAGAUAUCGGGAGGAACACCAGUAGCGAAGGCGACACUCUGGGCCGGUACUGACGCUGAGGAGCGAAAGCGUGGGGAGCAAACAGG